rnacentral:sRNA from 1 species
UCUUAGCCCCGAUUGCAGUGGAAAUCCUUUUUUGAAAAAAAAGAUUGUAAUGAAAAGCGGGAAAUAGC